AUUGAACGCUGGCGGCAUGCCUUACACAUGCAAGUCGAACGGUAACAGGUUAAGCUGACGAGUGGCGAACGGGUGAGUAAUGUAUCGGAACGUGCCCAGUCGUGGGGGAUAACUGCUCGAAAGAGCAGCUAAUACCGCAUACGACCUGAGGGUGAAAGCGGGGGAUCGCAAGACCUCGCGCGAUUGGAGCGGCCGAUAUCAGAUUAGGUAGUUGGUGAGGUAAAGGCUCACCAAGCCGACGAUCUGUAGCUGGUCUGAGAGGACGACCAGCCACACUGGGACUGAGACACGGCCCAGACUCCUACGGGAGGCAGCAGUGGGGAAUUUUGGACAAUGGGCGCAAGCCUGAUCCAGCCAUGCCGCGUGCGGGAAGAAGGCCUUCGGGUUGUAAACCGCUUUUGUCAGGGAAGAAAAGGUUCUGGCUAAUACCUGGGACUCAUGACGGUACCUGAAGAAUAAACACCGGCUAACUACGU
rnacentral:rRNA from 1 species